GUGCCAGCCGCCGCGGUAAUACGGAGGGUGCAAGCGUUAAUCGGAAUUACUGGGCGUAAAGGGCGCGUAGGUGGUUACUUAAGUCGGAUGUGAAAGCCCCGGGCUUAACCUGGGAAUUGCAUUUGAUACUGGGUGACUAGAAUGUGGUAGAGGGUAGCGGAAUUUCUGGUGUAGCGGUGAAAUGCGUAGAUAUCAGAAGGAACAUCAAUGGCGAAGGCAGCUACCUGGGCCAACAUUGACGCUGAGGCGCGAAAGCGUGGGGAGCAAACAGGAUUAGAUACCCUGGUAGUCCACGCCCUAAACGAUGACAACUUGUUGAUGGGGAUAUAUAAAUCUUCGUUGACGGAGCUAACGCAUUAAGUUGUCCGCCUGGGGAGUACGGUCGCAAGGCUGAA
rnacentral:rRNA from 1 species